CCUGGACUGCUGACUUAGAUCAUUGCAUGGAUUUCUAAGUGCAGAGGAGGGAGUGGCAGGAUGUCAAAGUGUUCUUCUUAAACGGUUUGGCUACUCAAAUGUGGGGGCACGGUACUCCUUAAAGUAGGUAGUGGUUAUGGUGCAUAGUCCCCCUUUAAAACCGACAGAAAUAAACAAAUACAUUACACAUAGGCAACUGGCCAACUAAGGUAAUUUUUAGAUGUGUUUAAAUCAUUGGCAACAUACAUUCACUCGUU